UGCGGUUAUACAAAAAUUAAAUUAAAUUUUUUUAGGAUUUAAUUAAUAAAACUAAAAUUAAUAAUUUAAAUUUUAAAUUAUAAAGUGAAAUUUUAAAUUUAAUUAAAAUUUAUUUAUUUUUAUGAUAUUAAUAAAUUUUAUAAAAAACUAGGAUUAGAUACCCUAUUAUAAAAAUUUAAAUUUAAAUAAUCUUAAAAUAGUAUAUAAUUUUUUAUAGAAACUUAAAUAAUUUGGCGGUAUUUUAGUUCAUUUAGAGGAAUCUGUCUAAUAAUUGAUAAUCCACGAUUAAAUUUACUUAAUUUUUAAUUUUGUAUAUCGUUGUUAAAAAAAUAUUUUUAAAUAAUUUUAAUAUUUUAAAAUUUAUAUAAAAAAUUAAAUCAGAUCAAGAUGCAGAUUAUAAUUAAGAAUAUGAUGGAUUACAAUAAAUUUUAUUUUAUUUGGAUAUUAAUUUGAAAUAAAUUGAUUGAAAUUGGAUUUAAAUGUAAUUUUAUUUAUUUUAAUAGAAUGAUUAAAAAUUAAAAUAUGUACAUAUUGCCCGUCGCUUUCAUUAAUAAGUUGAAAUAAGUCGUAACAAAGUAGAGGUACUGGAAAGUGUUUCUAGAAAGAU
rnacentral:rRNA from 1 species